rfam:Myotis brandtii contig232968, whole genome shotgun sequence.
GGCAGUUCUUGGGUGAUGCACCCCAGAAUCGGACUCCCUCCGUCUGGUUUCUAGUGCGUCACCUGAGAACUGCA